AAAGAAAGAAAAAAAGACGACGUCAACUUCCCAAGGCUUUUCAGCGUCAAGAAAGAGGAAUUUGAAGGGAAAGUUCAAGUCUGGGUGGCCAGAAGUUACAUUUCAGUGACCUGGUUACCGCCUCUCUCUGCAAACCUAAAGGAUCACUUUCCUCAGUGGAUCUACCCCAAUCAUCAUUAACGGGACCCCAGUGGAGAGAGUGAGCAGCUUCAAUACCUUCAAAUGCCCUGCAAAGAGUAGCUGAGCGCAUCUCCAGAACAUCUCCCCCUUCUCUGCAAGACAUCCACACCAGAAGAUGUAAAUCUAGGACUGUUAAGAUCCUUAAAGACCCCACCCACCCUGGAAAUCCACUGUUUCAUCUGCUACAGUCAGACAGACGCUUCUGCAGUCUGAUGGCAAAAACAGAUAGGCUCAGGAGAAGUUUCUUCCCUCAUGUUAUCAGACUACUAAACAUGGACAUUAAACACACUGAACUUUAUAGACUGGUUGUUUAGGGCUACCCAAUAACUCUCUGCACACUGCUUUUUUGACAACCUAACUAUGCAACUCAUCCUCACUGCACAUUGUCUACAUCUCUGCACAUCAUCUGUGUAGCAGUUUCUAUGUAGCAUCUCUACAAAUCAUCUGUGUAGUAGUUUAAUACAGUAUAUUGUGUAUAUUUUAUACAGUAUAUUUUUUCCUGUUGUUUCAUUAUUUUAUUUUUUUUGCACAGUCUAAAAAGAGUAUGCCAGACCUACAUUUCACUGCUUUUUGCAUGUCAUUUAACAAAUAAAACUUGAAUUUUUAAUGGUGUGGAGUGUUACCUGUGAUUGAGUUGGUGAUAAAAAGGAGAUGGGGAAAAGAGUGUCUUAAAUUGGACUUUGGUACCAAUAAUAUUUUCCUCUUAAGUCUUGGAAUGUUUAUUUUUAUUAUUAUUAAUUCUUGUAUUACCAUUUAGAUUUUUUUUUCUUUUUUUUUUUUUUUAAUUAAAUGUUUAUUUGUACAUUUACUGCUUUUUAUAAUGUUGUUUCACCUAGAGCCAAGGGGGUUGUAACAAUCUAAACAAUAUAAUUUCUCCCUCAGAUUUCAAAUUUGCAUUAAAGAAAAACAUUAACAUACAGUAAACAUUUUAUUGCUCUAAAUUACUCAUUCAUUUUCUUGAUACUGAUAUAAUUAUAAAAUUUAUAUAAUUUAAUAUACUUGAAUGUUUGCAGCUGUCACAAAAUUAUAUAACCUCUUGUUAAUAAAAUGUAAACUACAAUGAAAAACAAUAAAUCUGUUUUUCAUUAGUAUCGCUACUUUAUGCCCUCCUCAUUCGCGGGCACCCCGGCAAUGACGCAAUGUGAAAUUUCCGCUUAAACCCCGCCCAUUUGUAAAGUCCCGCCCACUAGCGGCAAAAGUCCCUCCCACUUGGAGCUCUCCGUGAAGUCCAGCCCACUUGCGGCAAAAGCUCCUCCCACUUGGAGGUCUCCGGGCUGCAGCGAUACCUACU